AUACAAAGUACAUUUGGAUUACUUCAACACCACCGUUGUUUUUAUGCAAUACUUAAAAAUCCAUCCAUCUAUUCUUCAAAUUUAAUGGUGAAUUAUGAAUAAACAUGAACAGCAACAACAUAGAGCACCUUUCAAUUGACCAUAUGCUUUUAUAUAAUGCAGUAGUCACCAGUAUUUCUAAUUUAAAAAAACAGUACAACCUUGUGUAUUUCUUAUCAUCACAUGGAAAGUACAUAUUCCAAAGCUUGGAUUGUUUCACUUACAUUUUACAGCAAUCAAAAAACACAUAACAUAACUGAAAAAUUAAGUCUUUGAUUUUGCAUGAAAACAGUUUGUUAAAGUUCAACAUUUUGAGGCCAGGUACAGUGCCUUGAAAAAGUAUUCACCCCUAUGAUUUUGUUUGUAUUUUGUUAUACCACAACUGUUAGACUAUUACUAUUACCAUUUUUGUUUUAAGGCACACCAAGAAUACACACUGAUAUGUAAUCCCUAUUUUUUACAAUUUGGCAGUGAAAAUUUGCAUGUGGUGCAUUUUUCACAUUUUUCAAAUUGACCCUGAAGUAGCCUACUCGCGGCUGCGCUGCCGCUGAUUGGUUUCCCCCGAAUGCAGCCUGCUUGAAUGAAGCUGAAGGAAACGUCGUCAUAGUCGACAAUGGCGCAAUGCAAGUUCGGGAUGUUUUAUUUUAGGGACAACACAAUUCACGUCGAAAGUACUGACAUUGUGACACCUCAGUACAGACAGCAGCUUGUUCAGGUAUUAAAACGGCCGGACCUGUCGAGUGAAGACGGAUGGAUACAAGUGUGCUGGCCGACCAGGAAAGCACCUAAAGACAAGGUGGCCGCAAAACCGCUCCUACUCGAGACAACUACAAGGAGUUGAUGGAAAGAAAAGAAGCCUUCCUCAAGGAUGAAGACAUCUGGCACAUGGCAGUUGCAAGGAGAAGGACCUCACCUUGUACCACAACAUAUGACGGAAGCAAACCAAAGAAAAAAAGAAUUACUGCAACUUCCAGUCUCACUUCAGAUGAAGAUGAAACACAGAUUGACCCAUCACAAGUUCUUCAAACAAAUAUACAGUUAUUGCUGAAUUUCCAGGAACAACUGUGUCUGAUGUGAGAGCAGUGAUUCGGAGAAAAUGUAACGAUGAGAAUUUUGUGACCAAAAAGAAACAGUAAGCAGUAACAUCAGUAACUGGUUGUAAUAGUUUUUGUUUGUUUAUUUUUUGGUGGACAUACAUUUUGAGUUUACACAAACUGUGUCCAUGUUUCAAAAGUCAGUUUAAUGUUAAUUUCUGUCAUUACUAGCUUCUCUGCGGUGCACAGCUAGCACAUCUAUUGUUUCUUCUGAAGAUCAAGCUGUUCAGGUCUCUGUAAAAUUUGUUGAUAAACUUUUUUCUUUUUUUUGUGAACUUAAUAUUACUAAAAAUAAUUAUCUGGGGUCAAAUGAUCCAAAUUUGAAAAAAAAUGUUACGAUGAAGAGCAACUGUUUGAAAAUGUUGUUUAGAUGUACUGUACCAACACUAAACUUUACAUCUUUAAGUUGUACUUAAAUGUACUUGAUUUAUGCAUAUUUUUCCUGCAAUGC